rnacentral:pre_miRNA from 1 species
AGCCCUGCCCCCGGUGAGUGAGGGUGUGGCUGCCACCCCCACUUGGGCCUGGCCCUCCCCCUGACCCUCUGCACCCACCCCCCAGGAGCU